rnacentral:rRNA from 1 species
AUACGAGGGGUGCAAGCGUUAAUCGGAAUUACUGGGCGUAAAGCGUUCGUAGGCGGUUUGUUAAGCAAGAUGUGAAAGCCCUGGGCUCAACCUGGGAACUGCAUUUUGAACUGGCAAGCUAGAAUACUGUAGAGGGUGGUGGAAUUUCCAGUGUAGCGGUGAAAUGCGUAGAGAUUGGAAGGAACAUCAGUGGCGAAGGCGGCCACCUGGACAGAUAUUGACGCUGAGGAACGAAAGCGUGGGGAGCGAACAGGAUUAGAAACCCUUGUAGUCC